AAACUAUAGAAAGAGAACGAAAAGAACACGACGAAAGGAUUUCGUCUCUUAUGGCGGAGCUGGAGGCGUUGAAAAAAGAAAAAGGUGAAACAGAAGAAGCAAGGAAAACCGCAGAAGAACAGAUAGAAGCAAUGAGAAAAGAGCAUGAGGAAAAGAUUGUAUUGCUUAGCAGUGAUCUGUCAGAAGUUCGUAAGAGCUGGACAGAAGAUGAACUAGCGAAAAGAACAGCUGAGGAAACCAUAGCCAAGGAAAGAAAAGAACAUGAAGAAAAG